AGUGAACGCUGGCGGUAGGCCUAACACAUGCAAGUCGAACGGCCGCACAGUAAGAGCUUGCUCUUACGGGUGGCGAGUGGCGGACGGGUGAGGAAUACAUCGGAAUCUACUUUUUCGUGGGGGACAACGUAGGGAAACUUACGCUAAUACCGCAUACUACCUACGGGUGAAAGCAGGGGAUCUUCGGACCUUGCGCGAUUGAAUGAGCCGAUGUCGGAUUAGCUAGUUGGCGGGGUAAAGGCCCACCGAGGCGACGAUCCGUAGCUGGUCUGAGAGGAUGAUCAGCCACACUGGAACUGAGACACGGUCCAGACUCCUACGGGAGGCAGCAGUGGGGAAUAUUGGACAAUGGGCGCAAGCCUGAUCCAGCCAUACCGCGUGGGUGAAGAAGGCCUUCGGGUUGUAAAGCCCUUUUGUUGGGAAAGAAAAGCAGCAGGUUAAUACCCCGCUGUUCUGACGGUACCCAAAGAAUAAGCACCGGCUAACUUCGUG
rnacentral:rRNA from 1 species